AUCCAGCUGACAAGUCCUAAAUAGAACGAGAUGCGCAUCCUAGAU
rnacentral:hammerhead_ribozyme from 1 species